UUCAAGCUGCAGGGCAAGGAGUUUGAAGUGCCUUAAUGGACUCAUAUGGUGAAUAUCUUGGAGAAAGCACACUGUCAGAAAGUGUUUUUGUCUUAUCUUAUUCUGACGCAGUUUUGAGAUGUUAGAUUUCCUGUGCUCUUAAUUUGGCGAUCUAGUCUGAGACGUCAUUUCCUGGUUGUAGCGUUUCUGCGUAAUAUGGGCUCUUGUGUAAACAGCAUUGUGUGCGUUCCUGACUAAAAUACCCCACACACACCUAUACUACAAUUGUUCAACUUCAUCAUUAAAGAGUGCCUGAAAGCCUCUCUGUGCCCUACUCUCUGACCGGAGUCCUUGUCCUAAGAAGAUAUCAGACCAGCAUUCCGCAUCCAGAGUAACCUACUCUAUCACACACACCAUCACUUGAAGUAAAUAGUAGUAUUUCAGUUUGAGCACAUCAUUAAAUAGUUAGUUUGACAUUUGCAUGUAGACUGGAGUAGUUCAGGCAAUAAGAUGGGAUGUUGCUAUGUGACAGGAAGGAGGAAUAUAAAACUGCUUCGGCUUCUCCAAGUUAGGAGUGCCACUUGUUGGACUUGACCUCCUCCAGGAACUGCAGUUCUGUAUGACCACGCUCGCUUGUAAUAAAGCAACUUUUUGUUCA